CGGAGCGUAGCGCAGUCUGGUAGCGCGUUUGGUUUGGGUCCAAAAAGUCGCGAGUUCGAAUCCCGCCGCUCCGA
rnacentral:tRNA from 1 species